rnacentral:rRNA from 1 species
UACGUAGGGCGCAAGCGUUGUCCGGAAUCAUUGGGCGUAAAGAGCUCGUAGGCGGUCUGUUACGUCUGCUGUGAAAUCCUAGGGCUUAACCCUGGGCCUGCUGUGGAUACGGGCAGACUAGAGGUAGGUAGGGGAGAAUGGAAUUCCCGGUGUAGCGGUGAAAUGCGCAGAUAUCAGGAGGAACACCAGUAGCGAAGGCGGUGGUCUGGGCCGGAACUGACGCUGAGGAGCGAAAGCGUGGGGAGCGAACAGG